AUUCCCCUAGUAACGGCGAGUGAAGAGGGAAGAGCUCAAAUUUGAAAGCUGGUACCUUCGGUAUCCGCGUUGUAACCUCGAGACACGUUUUCCGUGCGGCGCUAUGGACAAGUUCCUUGGAACAGGACAUCGUAGAGGGUGAAAAUCCCGUACUUGCCAUGGAUGUACCGUGCUUUGCGAUACGUGCUCUAAGAGUCGAGUUGUUUGGGAUUGCAGCUCAAAAUGGGUGGUAGACUCCAUCUAAAGCUAAAUAUCGGGGAGAGACCGAUAGCGAACAAGUACCGUGAGGGAAAGAUGAAAAGCACUUUGGAAAGAGAGUUAAAAGUACGUGAAAUUGUCGAAAGGGAAGCGCUUGAAGUCAGCCAUGCCGCUCAGGACUCAGCCUGGCUUUUGCUUGGUGUAUUUCCUGGGUAGCAAGUCAGCAUUGGUUUGGAUCGUCGGAGAAGCAUAGUCGGAAUGUGGCGCCCUCGGGCGUGUUAUAGCCUUCUAUUGGAUACGACGAUCUAGACCAAGGAACGCAGCGCGCCUUAUGGCGGGUCUU
rnacentral:rRNA from 1 species